AGGACGAACGCUGGCGGCGUGCUUAACACAUGCAAGUCGAGCGGUAAGGCCCUUUGGGGUACACGAGCGGCGAACGGGUGAGUAACACGUGGGUGACCUGCCCCCUACUCUGGGAUAAGCCUGGGAAACUGGGUCUAAUACCGGAUAUGACUACAUGUCGCAUGGUGUGUGGUGGAAAGUUUUUUUCGGUGGGGGAUGGGCCCGCGGCCUAUCAGCUUGUUGGUGGGGUGAUGGCCUACCAAGGCGACGACGGGUA
rnacentral:rRNA from 1 species